rnacentral:rRNA from 1 species
UACGUAGGGGGCAAGCGUUGUCCGGAUUUAUUGGGCGUAAAGAGCGUGUAGGCGGCCAGACAAGUCUGCUGUGAAAACUCGAGGCUCAACCUCGAGCUGUCGGUGGAAACUGUCUGGCUAGAGUCCGGAAGAGGAGAGUGGAAUUCCUGGUGUAGCGGUGAAAUGCGCAGAUAUCAGGAAGAACACCAGUGGCGAAAGCGGCUUCCUGGACCAGCACCGACGUUCAGGCACGAAAGCGUGGGGAGCAAACAGG